rnacentral:rRNA from 1 species
ACGAACGCUGGCGGCGUGCUUAACACAUGCAAGUCGAACGGAAAGGCCCUGCUUUUGUGGGGUGCUCGAGUGGCGAACGGGUGAGUAACACGUGAGUAACCUGCCCUUGACUUUGGGAUAACUUCAGGAAACUGGGGCUAAUACCGGAUAGGAGCUCCUGCUGCAUGGUGGGGGUUGGAAAGUUUCGGCGGUUGGGGAUGGACUCGCGGCUUAUCAGCUUGUUGGUGGGGUAGUGGCUUACCAAGGCUUUGACGGGUAGCCGGCCUGAGAGGGUGACCGGCCACAUUGGGACUGAGAUACGGCCCAGACUCCUACGGGAGGCAGCAGUGGAGAAUAUUGCACAAUGGGCGGAAGCCUGAUGCAGCAACGCCGCGUGCGGGAUGACGGCCUUCGGGUUGUAAACCGCUUUCGCCUGUGACGAAGCGUGAGUGACGGUAAUGGGUAAAGAAGCACCGGCUAACUACGUG